rnacentral:rRNA from 1 species
CACGUAGGGCGCAAGCGUUGUCCGGAAUUAUUGGGCGUAAAGAGCUCGUAGGCGGUCUGUUGCGUCCGCUGUGAAAACCCGGGGCUUAACCCUGGGCUGGCAGUGGAUACGGACAGACUAGAGGUAGGUAGGGGAGAAUGGAAUUCCCGGUGUAGCGGUGAAAUGCGCAGAUAUCGGGAGGAACACCGGUGGCGAAGGCGGUUCUCUGGGCCUUACCUGACUCUGAGGAGCGAAAGCGUGGGGAGCGAACAGG